rnacentral:rRNA from 1 species
GACAGAGGGUGCAAACGUUGUUCGGAAUCACUGGGCGUAAAGCGUGUGUAGGCGGCUACGUCAAGUCGGACGUGAAAUCUCCCGGCUUAACUGGGAGGGGUCGCUCGAUACUGGCGAGCUCGAGGCAGGUAGGGGGAAGCGGAAUUCCCGGUGUAGUGGUGGAAUGCGUAGAUAUCGGGAGGAACACCAGUGGCGAAGGCGGCUUCCUGGACCUGUUCUGACACUGAGGAGCGAAAGCGUGGGGAGCGAUCCGG